CUACGGGAGGCAGCAGUGGGGAAUCUUAGACAAUGGGCGCAAGCCUGAUCUAGCCAUGCCGCGUGAGUGACGAAGGCCUUAGGGUCGUAAAGCUCUUUCGCCAGGGAUGAUAAUGACAGUACCUGGUAAAGAAACCCCGGCUAACUCCGUGCCAGCAGCCGCGGUAAUACGGAGGGGGUUAGCGUUGUUCGGAAUUACUGGGCGUAAAGCGCACGUAGGCGGACUGGAAAGUUGGGGGUGAAAUCCCGGGGCUCAACCCCGGAACUGCCUCCAAAACUAUCAGUCUAGAGUUCGAGAGAGGUGAGUGGAAUUCCGAGUGUAGAGGUGAAAUUCGUAGAUAUUCGGAGGAACACCAGUGGCGAAGGCGGCUCACUGGCUCGAUACUGACGCUGAGGUGCGAAAGUGUGGGGAGCAAACAGGAUUAGAUACCCUGGUAGUCCACACCGUAAACGAUGAAUGCCAGUCGUCGGCAAGCAUGCUUGUCGGUGACACACCUAACGGAUUAAGCAUUCCGCCUGGGGAGUACGGUCGCAAGAUUAAAACUCAAAGGAAUUGACGG
rnacentral:rRNA from 1 species